rnacentral:rRNA from 1 species
AUUGAACGCUGGCGGAAUGCUUUACACAUGCAAGUCGAACGGCAGCACGGACUUCGGUCUGGUAGCGAGUGGCGAACGGGUGAGUAAUGUAUCGGAACGUGCCCAGUCGUGGGGGAUAACGUAGUGAAAAUUACGCUAAUACCGCAUACGAUCUAUGGAUGAAAGCGGGGGAUCGCAAGACCUCGCGCGAUCGGAGCGGCCGAUAUCAGAUUAGGUAGUUGGUGGGGUAAAGGCCCACCAAGCCAACGAUCUGUAGCUGGUCUGAGAGGACGACCAGCCACACUGGAACUGGGACACGGUCCAGCCUCCUACGGGAGGCAGCAGUGGGGAAUUUUGGACAAUGGGCGAAAGCCUGAUCCAGCCAUUCCGCGUGCAGGAUGAAGGCCCUCGGGUUGUAAACUGCUUUUGUACAGAACGAAAAGGUUUCUACUAAUACUAGGAGCUCAUGACGGUACUGUAAGAAUAAGCACCGGCUAACUACGUGCCAGCAGCCGCCGUAA